GGGCUGGAGGUGACAGAAAAGUUACCCCAGGAAUAAUUGGCUUGUCGCGGGCGAGAGUUCACAUCGACCUCGCGGCUUGGUACGCCGUCGUCGUCCCUUCCCAUCCUGGCGGUGCAUAAGCCGCCAAGGGUGAGUCUGCUCGCCUAUUAAAGGGGAAUGCGAGAUGGGUUUAGACCGUCGUGAGACAGGUCGGACUCUACCUGCUGGGGGGGUUGGCCGCCUGAGGGGAUCACGUCCUCAGUACGAAAGGAACGGGGCGUGGCGGCCUCUGGUGAACCAGCUGUCCGGUAGGGCAAGCUGGGCAGCUACGCCGCCGGGGAUAAGGGCUGAAGGCAUCUAAGCCCGAAGCUCCUCCCGAAAAUAGGCGGCCAAUCCUAGGCGCAGAAACCUGGCGACAGGUUUCAUGCCUAGGACGAAGGCUGGGGUGGAACACCCCGUUGAUGGGGUGGAGGUGUAAGCCGGAAGAUCUUCGGAUCGACUGGUUCAGCCUGCCACUCCCAAUCGCCUGAGGUGCUGGGUUG
rnacentral:rRNA from 1 species